UACGGAGGGGGCUAGCGUUGUUCGGAAUUACUGGGCGUAAAGCGCGCGUAGGCGGCUUUGCAAGUCAGAGGUGAAAGCCUGGAGCUCAACUCCAGAACUGCCUUUGAAACUGCAUCGCUAGAAUCAUGGAGAGGUUAGUGGAAUUCCGAGUGUAGAGGUGAAAUUCGUAGAUAUCGGGAGGAACACCGGUGGCGAAGGCGGCGACCUGGGUAGAUACUGACGCUGAGGUGCGAAAGCGUGGGGAGCAAACAGG
rnacentral:rRNA from 1 species